UACAGAGGGGGCAAGCGUUAUUCGGAAUUAUUGGGCGUAAAGGGCGCGUAGGCGGCUUGGCAAGUGGAAGGUGAAAUCCCUCGGCUUAACCGAGGAACUGCCUCCCAAACUGCUUGGCUUGAGACCAGGAGAGGUGAGUGGAAUUCCCAGUGUAGCGGUGAAAUGCGUAGAUAUUGGGAGGAACACCGGUGGCGAAGGCGGCAUUCUGGACCGAUAUUGACGCUGAGGAGCGAAAGCCAGGGGAGCAAACGGG
rnacentral:rRNA from 1 species